GCCGCUUCCGGUCCCCAGCGCCAGAGCGAAUGUCUUCCCCCUCUGUGGGGCUGGAGCGGGGCUUGCUGCGACCCCCCAGAGCCCACGAUCGCGCCUCCCCAGCCGGCGAAUCCGCCAGCACUAGCGUCCCACCGGCGCCUGGGACCAUGGCCACUGACUCAUGGGCCCUUGCGGUGGAUGAACAGGAGGCAGCGGCCGUAUCGUUGAGCAACUUACAUCUUAAGGAAGAGAAAAUCAAACCAGAUGCCAAUGGUGCCGUUGUCAAGACCAGUGCUAAUGCAGAGAAGGCAGAUGAAGAAGAGAAAGAAGACAGAGCUGCUCAGUCCUUACUCAACAAGCUGAUCAGAAGCAACCUUGUCGAUAACACCAACCAAGUAGAAGUCCUGCAGCGGGACCCCAAUUCCCCGCUCUACUCAGUGAAGUCCUUUGAGGAGCUUCGGCUGAAACCACAGCUUCUCCAGGGAGUCUAUGCCAUGGGCUUCAACCGUCCAUCCAAGAUACAAGAGAAUGCAUUGCCUCUGAUGCUUGCUGAGCCCCCACAGAACUUAAUUGCCCAGUCUCAGUCUGGCACUGGUAAAACAGCUGCCUUCGUGUUGGCCAUGCUCAGCCAAGUAGAACCUGCAAAUAGAUACCCCCAGUGUCUCUGCCUCUCCCCAACUUAUGAGCUCGCCCUGCAAACAGGAAAAGUGAUUGAACAGAUGGGCAAAUAUUACCCUGAACUGAAGCUAGCUUAUGCUGUCCGAGGCAAUAAAUUGGAAAGAGGUCAGAAGAUCAGUGAACACAUUGUCAUUGGCACCCCUGGGACUGUUCUGGACUGGUGCGCCAAGCUCAAGUUCAUAGACCCUAAGAAGAUCAAGGUGUUUGUUCUGGAUGAGGCUGACGUGAUGAUAGCUACUCAGGGCCACCAAGACCAGAGCAUCCGCAUCCAGAGGAUGCUGCCCAGGAACUGCCAGAUGCUGCUUUUCUCUGCCACCUUUGAAGACUCUGUGUGGAAAUUUGCCCAGAAAGUGGUCCCAGACCCAAACAUUAUCAAACUGAAGCGCGAGGAGGAGACCUUGGACACCAUCAAGCAGUAUUACGUCCUGUGCAAUAACAGAGAUGAGAAGUUCCAGGCCUUGUGUAACCUGUAUGGGGCCAUCACCAUUGCUCAGGCCAUGAUCUUCUGCCAUACCCGCAAAACAGCUAGUUGGCUGGCAGCAGAGCUCUCCAAAGAAGGCCACCAGGUGGCUCUGCUGAGCGGCGAAAUGAUGGUGGAGCAGAGGGCUGCUGUGAUCGAGCGCUUCCGCGAGGGCAAAGAGAAGGUGCUGGUGACCACCAACGUGUGUGCCCGCGGUAUUGAUGUUGAACAGGUAUCUGUCGUCAUCAACUUUGACCUUCCCGUGGACAAGGAUGGGAACCCGGACAACGAGACCUACCUGCACCGGAUCGGGCGCACGGGCCGCUUUGGCAAGAGGGGCCUGGCAGUGAACAUGGUCGACAGCAAACACAGCAUGAACAUCCUGAACAGAAUCCAGGAGCAUUUUAAUAAGAAAAUAGAAAGAUUGGACACGGAUGAUUUGGAUGAGAUUGAGAAAAUAGCCAACUAAGAAGCUCCAUCAGUCACCAGUGCCCACCCCCGGUGCUCCCCCUGCACGGGAGACUAGUGCUUUCACGGCACAGGCCUCGACAGUCACUAUAAAGACAAAGGCAGAAGAGAGAGAAACUACCUACCUCAUUUUAAAUUACGUUUGGACUUGACAAAAAUUGUGCAAAUGAUUGGGGAUGGUAGAAGGAAAAUUUUGCAUUUUGGAAAAUUUAGUUCUCUCCCCACACCUCCCCCCCUGCCUCCCCCCCCUGCCCUUUUAAACCAUGGUUUUCCCACCUUAUAAUAAUCUGGUCGCUGUUGAUAAUGGCUGAGCCUAGGACUCCCUGCUUGCUGCUUGUUUUGUUGUGGGGGGUUAGGAUGUAUUUCCAGCCCCUGAAGAAAUGGUCGGUGUAGGUGCAGGAGAGGCUCAGCAGUACAGGCACGGAGGCCCCACUGCAUGGAUGGAGUGUGGGGAGCAGCAGCAGGAAGACCUGGGAGCUUUCCCCCUUCUCUGUCCCUGACCGGACACCAGCCACCAGUGUCUCCGGCCCUUGAGGCUGUUUUCCUUCUCUUAAAUCCAGAGAUGUUCCGGCUGACCCCUUUUACCCCUGUUCUCAGUGCCAGGAUGUCCCUGUUUCUCUCUGGGUGAGCACACUGGCUACUUUUGUAAACCUCUGAUUUGAAACAAUCUUCAGGGGAUUUGGUCUGGCAGGGGUAGAUGAAUCCUUUGAGAAUCUGGGACUUCCUUUUCCUGCGGUUGCUGUGUCUGCUCAGGCACUGGGAGUCCGUCAUGGCAGCCGGGGGGAGACUGGGUGAGUUUCUGACACACAACUGGCCAAGUGAGUUGGCUCUUUUCUGUGAGUGUCACACUAUGCCUGGAGAUGAGCAGCAGAAUUUGGAAAGGAAGUUAUGACCAACUUAAAACUCUGUGCUCUUUCUUUAAUCAUAAUGGUGGACCUAUUGGUUACUUUAAUUCAUACAUCACAUAUAUGAGUAGGGACAGAGAAAUUCGAGCUAUACCCAUCAUUAUGUUAAGAAAUUUUAAAGUAAUUAUGAAAGGCUUUGCUAAUCAUGAUUUGUUUUUAUUUGUUUUUUUUCUGCUUAAUACACUAAUAUAUACUCAUUAAAAAAGGUG